rnacentral:misc_RNA from 1 species
AACGCACAUUGCGCCCGCCAGUAUUCUGGCGGGCAUGCCUGUUCGAGCGUCAUUUCAACCCUCAAGCACAACUUGCUUGGUGUUGGGGAUCGGCCGCCGUCUUCUCCGUUGCGAGAGGAGGGCAGCCGCCCCCGAAAUGAAUUGGCGGUCUCGUCGCAGCCUUCCUUUGCGUAGUAAAACAUACAUCACCUCGCAAUCAGGAGCGCGGCGCGGCCACUGCCGUAAAACGCCCAACUUCUCAAGAGUUGACCUCGAAUCAGGUAGGAAUACCCGCUGAACUUAA